rnacentral:rRNA from 1 species
UACGAAGGGGGCUAGCGUUGCUCGGAAUCACUGGGCGUAAAGCGCACGUAGGCGGCUUGUUAAGUCAGGGGUGAAAUCCUGGAGCUUAACUCCGAAACUGCAUUCGAUACUGCCGUGCUUGAGGACUGGAGAGGAGACUGGAAUUUACGGUGUAGCGGUGAAAUGCGUAGAUAUCGUAAGGAAGACCAGUGGCGAAGGCGGGUCUCUGGACAGUUCCUGACGCUGAGGCACGAAGGUCAGGGGAGCAAACGGG